GUUCCCAUAGUUGAGGAAACAACGAUGGUUUUUCAGGCCAUGGGCCCUAGGUAAGAACUAGGUGGGAAUU
rnacentral:tRNA from 1 species